CCCGGUUGUGGUCCGCCAUGUUGAUGAGCCUGAAGCAAAGAGGCGAGUAUGUGAAGGCCAUCUUUCGUAGUUCUCCCUGGACAUUUUUGGUAUGACGGAAGAGGACCGGCUCUUCGAUUUCAUGAAGGGGCUCCUUCUCCUUUGCCAACUCAGGCAGGAUGAGGGUUGAGGAGAUAUGAUUUAGUAAAAGGAAGAAUCGUGGCAAUCACUGAACGGGAACUACUACUUUAGUUUAGAGUUUUGCAUCCAACGACCAUAAAACUAUUCAGUUAUCAAAGAAAAAGGGUUCGCCCCUGGGAAUCCAUGACACACUGUCCCCAACGGGCUAGGGAAC
rnacentral:lncRNA from 1 species